rnacentral:rRNA from 1 species
UGGGGAAUAUUGGGCAAUGGGCGCAAGCCUGACCCAGCAACGCCGCGUGAAGGAAGAAGGCCUUCGGGUUGUAAACUUCUUUUGUCAGGGACGAAGAAAGUGACGGUACCUGACGAAUAAGCCACGGCUAACUACGUGCCAGCAGCCGCGGUAAUACGUAGGUGGCAAGCGUUAUCCGGAUUUACUGGGUGUAAAGGGCGUGUAGGCGGGAGAGCAAGUCAGACGUGAAAUUCCAGGGCUCAACCCUGGAACUGCGUUUGAAACUGUUCUUCUUGAGUGAUGGAGAGGCAGGCGGAAUUCCGUGUGUAGCGGUGAAAUGCGUAGAUAUACGGAGGAACACCAGUGGCGAAGGCGGCCUGCUGGACAUUAACUGACGCUGAGGCGCGAAAGCGUGGGGAGCAAACAGG